ACGUAGGUGGCAAGCGUUGUCCGGAAUUAUUGGGCGUAAAGGGCGUGCAGGUGGUUUCUUAAGUCUGUCUUAAAAGUGCGGGGCUUAACCCCGUGAGGGGACGGAAACUGGGAGACUAGAGUAUCGGAGAGGAAAGCGGAAUUCCUAGUGUAGCGGUGAAAUGCGUAGAUAUUAGGAGGAACACCAGUGGCGAAAGCGGCUUUCUGGACGACAACUGACACUGAGGCGCGAAAGCCAGGGGAGCAAACGG
rnacentral:rRNA from 1 species